rnacentral:piRNA from 6 species
AGUGUAGUAUCUGUUCUUAUCAGUUU